rnacentral:rRNA from 1 species
CCUACGGGUGGCAGCAGUGGGGAAUAUUGCACAAUGGAGGGAACUCUGAUGCAGCGACGCCGCGUGAGUGAUGAAGUUUUUCGGUAUGUAAAGCUCUGUCAGCAGGGAUGAAGAAAGACGGUACCUGACCAAAAAGCCCCGGCUAACUACGUGCCAGCAGCCGCGGUAAUACGUAGGGGGCAAGCGUUUUCCGGAUUGACUGGGCGUAAAGGGAGCGUAGACGGCAGUGCAAGUCUGGUGUGAAAGGCCGGGGCCCAACCGCGGAAUUGCUCUUGAAACUGGCCGGCUGGAGUGCAGGAGAGGUAAGUGGAAUUCCUAGUGUAGCGGUGGAAUGCGUAGAUAGUAGGAGGAACACCAGUGGCGAAGGCGGCUUACUGGACUGUAACUGACGUUGAGGCUCGAAAGCGUGGGGAGCAAACAGGAUUAGAUACCCCUGUAGUC